AUGAGUAGGAAGUCAAGCAAAGGAGGUAGGAGACCUGCAUGGAUGAGCAAGAAGCUCCUGGCAAAACUCAACCAGAAGAAGGAAGUCUACAGAAAGUGGAAAGGGGGACAGGCCACUUGGGAGGAAUAUAGGAACAUUGUCAGAGUAUGCAGGGAUGUGACGAGGAAGGCUAAGGCCCGUUUGGAAUUAAAUCUGGCAAGAGAUGUCAAGGACAACAAGAAGGGCUUCUUCAAAUACAUCAGUAGCAAGAGGAAGACUAGGGAAAAUGUGGGCCCUUUGCUGAAUGGGGUGGGUGCCCUGGUGACGAAGGAUGCAGAGAAGGCAGAGUUACUGAAUGCCUUCUUUGCUUCAGUCUUUACUGCUCAGGCCAGCCCUCAGGAACCCCAGAUCCUGGAGGCAAGAGAGAAAGUCUGGAGAAAGGAAGGCUUUCCCUUGGUGGAGGAGGAGUGGGUUAGAGAUCAUUUAAGAAAACUUGACACCCACAAAUCCAUGGGCCCUGAUGGGAUGCACCCACGAGUGCUGAGGGAGCUGGCGGAUGUUAUUGCUAAGCCACUCUCCAUCAUCUUUGAAAGGUCAUGGAGAACAGGAGAGGUACCUGAGGACUGGAAGAAAGCCAAUGUCACCCCAGUCUUCAAAAAGGGCAAGAAGGAGGACCCAGGGAACUACAGGCCAGUCAGCCUCAUCUGCAUCCCUGGAAAGGUGAUGGAGCAGCUCAUCCUGGAGGCCAUCUCCAAGCAUGUGGAGGACAAGAAGGUGAUCAGGAGUAGUCAGCAUGGCUUCACCAAGGGGAAAUCAUGCCUAACCAAUCUGAUAGCCUUCUAUGAUGGAAUGACUGGCUGGGUAGAUGAGGGGAGAGCAGUGGAUGUUGUCUACCUAGACUUCAGCAAGGCUUUUGACACUGUCUCCCAUAACAUCCUCAUAGACAAGCUCAGGAAGUGUGGGCUGGAUGAGUGGACAGUGAGGUGGAUUGAGAACUGGCUGAAUGGCAGAGCUCAGAGGGUUGUGAUCAGUGGCGCAGUCUAG
rnacentral:lncRNA from 1 species